GGCACGGUGGUGCAGUGGUUAGCACUGUCGCCUCACAGCAAGAUGGUCGUGGGUUCGAUUCCGGCGUGGGGCC